rnacentral:rRNA from 1 species
AAUGAACGCUGGCGGCAGGCCUAACACAUGCAAGUCGAACGAAGCCUUCGGGCUUAGUGGCGCACGGGUGCGUAACGCGUGGGAAUCUGCCCUUGGGUUCGGAAUAACAGUUAGAAAUGACUGCUAAUACCGGAUGAUGUCUUCGGACCAAAGAUUUAUCGCCCAAGGAUGAGCCCGCGUAGGAUUAGGUAGUUGGUGGGGUAAUGGCCCACCAAGCCGACGAUCCUUAGCUGGUCUGAGAGGAUGAUCAGCCACACUGGGACUGAGACACGGCCCAGACUCCUACGGGAGGCAGCAGUGGGGAAUAUUGGACAAUGGGCGAAAGCCUGAUCCAGCAAUGCCGCGUGAGUGACGAAGGCCUUAGGGUUGUAAAGCUCUUUUACCAGGGAUGAUAAUGACAGUACCUGGAGAAUAAGCUCCGGCUAACUCCGUGCCAGCCGCCGCAGUAAGAC